rnacentral:tRNA from 1 species
GUGCCUAUAGUGUAAUGGUUAGCACUAGGGUUUGUGGAACCCUCAGUUCCGGUUCAAAUCCGGAUAGGCACACCA